rnacentral:rRNA from 1 species
GACGAACGCUGGCGGCGUGCCUAACACAUGCAAGUCGAACGGAAAGGCCCUGCUUUUGUGGGGUGCGCGAGUGGCGAACGGGUGAGUAACACGUGAGUAACCUGCCCUUGACUGUGGGAUAACUUCAGGAAACUGGGGCUAAUACCGGAUAGGAGCUCCUGCUGCAUGGUGGGGGUUGGAAAGUUUCGGCGGUUGGGGAUGGACUCGCGGCUUAUCAGCUUGAUGGUGGGGUAGUGGCGUACCAAGGCUUUGACGGGUAGCCGGCCUGAGAGGGUGACCGGCCCAGCUGGGACUGGACUACGGCCCAGCCCCCACCGGGAGGCAGCGGUGGAGAAUAUUGCACAAUGGGCGGGAGCCUGAUGUGGCCCCGCCGCGUGCGGGAUGACGGCAUUCGGGUUGUAAACCGCUUUCGCCUGUGACGAAGCGUGUGUGACGGUAAUGGGUAAAGAAGCACCGGCUAACUACGUG